AUAAAGACGAGGAAGAGAAGAGUAGAUGUAGGAUGUAGUUUCAGCGAGUUGGUGAUAGUGGGAGACCAAUACGAAGCCUAUAUUGAAGAACAUCUCGGAGUUGCUAACCGAAAUCUGGUAGGAAAGUAGGCUUAGACGGAGCCAAACCGUUAUCCUUUGGACAGUAUCGCAGUAUGUCACGUACUUCCGUACUGAUACAAGUGAGCCUUUGUGCUAAUGAGGGUGGUACCGCGGAAGCAAAGCCUUUCGUCCCUUUG
rnacentral:ncRNA from 1 species